CAUGAGCAGUAUUAGUUUUCUUCUAACAUCCAGAAGUCUGCAUGUGUUUUUCUAGCAAGCCUUUGACAGUGAAAUGUAACAUGACCGAAACACCAACAUCAAAAAAACAAACAAAACACUCACACAAAUCAUAUUUUAAUGUUAUUUAUUUUUAUUUUAGUAAACUCUGAAAAUUCUAUCAGACAGAUGGUGGAGAGUACAGUUUAACAACUAUUAACAAAUAGAUGAUUUAAUAUUUCUGGACAGGUUGGAGUCUUUCAGGAUCCACAAACAGCAUGGUUGUUCAAACUCUGCUCCUCUUGGUGGAAAUGCACUCCGUCUUUCCCCCUUGCAAAAAAGAUUUUUAAUGUUAGUUUUAACUAACAUUAAAAAUAUAAACACCAGCUAACAGAUAAUAGAUAAUAGAAACAUGAAUGGUUCAGUCUAACAUGUGCUCAAGUGAGACAAUGAACCCCUGUAAUGAUUGAUCAUUUUACAUGUUUUAUAGCUCCAGCAGACUGAAGAGUUCAAAGUUUGCUUGGUUUUAUGCUGGUGCAUAUCUGAGUAUCAGAUGGUGCCACAGGUCAGACUCCAGCAGUUCUUUCAGGAAUCAGCAGACAGAGGAAACAAACACCACAGACGCUGCUUUUCCAGUGCUUUGAAAAACAUUUGUUUCAGUGAGAAAACAUCCACCACAAGUAUCUGUAUGAAGCCCGUGGAGGAAGUUAGUGAAUGUUCUCCUGAGUAAUCAGUAAUGCUCUUCAGGGGAUCAGUCUGAUCGUCAUACACACACCCUCAACCUCCUCUGCUGCCGUGCUGCUUCUAACUCUUCUUCUUCUAUGCAGAGGUGAGUGUACAGAUGUGUGAUAUAGUUACAGGUUGGAACAUCUGUUUAUGUUUGGGCAAUGGGCUGGUACACACCUAAUGUAUAAAGUUUUUUUCCUUGUGGGAGCACAAAAGUGUACCAGUGUCAUUUAUUUAUAUAUUGCUGUUCCUCUAAUUCAUCUUUGUGCUCAUUUUGUUUCUCUUCUGUGAUUUUUUAAAUUUAAGCUUCUGCUGAAUGUGUUUUAACAGAUUAAUCAGUUAAAGUGUCCACUUGGCCUCCAAAUUCCCCUGAUAUCAUCGAGCUAAGCAGCUGUGGGUCCUUGAAACUUUUAGGAAUCAGAGCCUUUAAAAUAGUAGACAAAGUAUUUAUUAAUUGUUAAAGUCACUCUGAUAACUAUUUAUUAACUUCUUUUUUG
rnacentral:lncRNA from 1 species